rnacentral:rRNA from 1 species
UACGGGGGGGGCAAGCGUUGUUCGGAAUUACUGGGCGUAAAGCGCACGUAGGCGGCUUACUAAGUCAGGGGUGAAAUCCUGGAGCUCAACUCCAGAACUGCCUUUGAUACUGGUGAGCUUGAGUCCGGAAGAGGUGAGUGGAACUGCGAGUGUAGAGGUGAAAUUCGUAGAUAUUCGCAAGAACACCAGUGGCGAAGGCGGCUCACUGGCCCGAUACUGACGCUGAGGCACGAAAGCGUGGGGGAGCAAACAGG